CAAACCUUAUCUUCUUCCUCCUGUAAUCGAACCUCCUUCUUGGGUUCUUCCUUCCUGUCCACGUCUCCUUCUCUGAAUUCGACGAUUCCACACCCCGGCCAUGGCUAGGGAGUUCUACCCGAGGGUAGCAUCUACCGCUACGGGCUGCGCACGGCUGAGCUGACGGAGGUGUGCGAGUUGGGAGCUCUGAGAUACCAGCGUCGUAGAGCUGGCACCUUCGAGCCUCAUGGCCAGGAUAUCUUCUUCUUCAACGUAAUACCUUACGUGGAAAGUAUGGUUAGACUUAGGUCCUGUUUGGAUGUCCACCUGCUUCCUGAAAUUUCGGAAUCUGUGGAGCACCCACUUGCCCGCUCCGCGAAUUUUAACUGGAGCUCCGCCCGCUCCGGGAGUGGCCUCGUGGAGCGGAGCGUCUCCGAACAGGCUCUUACUGCUUAGUCAGCCUAGCUUCAUUAGAGGCAUUUACUUUCAGCUUGCGAUAAGCCUCAUGUGUUUUUUCAUGCGUAUUCCUCAUAUGUAAAACGGUAUUUGUACUGGUUGGGAUAAAAUCUGCAACAAUAUUCUAAUAAAAGCUAAAAAAAAGUGGGUCCAUCCGCAUCCACCAGAUCCACCUCAUCCUGAGACAGUGAGAUUGACACCGCACCCAAGUGCGCGCUGCUUAAUUGAACCUUGCAAGCCCAAAAUCACCGACAUGGGCAACCAUGUUGUUGUCGAGGAGAAUAUUGCUUGGCUUGAGGUCACAGUGAACAAUUGGAAACGGCUUCUGAUGAUGCAAAUAGUCAAGCGCAGAAGCCACGUGCAUGGCAAUCUGGAGUCUCUGAAUGAGAUCUAGCAUCUUGGGUUCGUUAUCUUCCUCGAGAUGCUUGUGUAGCCACUGGUCUAGAUUUCCAUUUGGCAGAAACUCAAACACAAGAGCCUUGAAGUCGCCACCUCGAGUGUCAAUACUUGAGCACACUGUUAUAACCUUCACAAGGUUCCGAUGGUGGAUACAUCUCCAAGCCUCACAUUCCGCAUCGAAACUUCGGGAUGCGCCAGCAUGUUGCAGGUUGAGUACCUUCACUGCCACCAUCACUUGUUGGCCAGAGAUUUCCAUUCUUCCCUUGUACACUGCACCAAAGCUGCCCACCCCAAUGAGGUUUUCGGAUGUGAAACCAUCUGUUGCCUUGACCAAUUCAGCAUAAGAAACUCUUAUGUAUUUGUCAUUGGGGAGAGUUAUCUGUGGCUUUGCUCUUAUAAGCUUGCUUCUUUUACAUAACACGAACAUUGCGGAUAGUAUGACCAACAGAAUUCCGGCGCCUGCUGCGAUAAUCAUGAGAAGCUUUGAAGAUAUUCUCCUUUUAGUGGGACUGGAGCACAUUUUCAACUUGAGUUGAGGGAUCCCACCACACAGAGCACUGUUUCCCAUGACCGAGGUUGCAGCUGCAUUGAGGAAUAUUCCGUCUUUCGGAACUUCACCUUCAAAAUCAUUGGAAGAGAGAUUUAAACUAGCAAGGCCUUUCAUGGUACCGAGGAACUCAGGAAUGCUCCCAGAUAAAUUAUUCCGAGAAAGAUCAAGCACUACGAGGCCCCGUAACUGUCCUAGUGACAGCGGAAUCGUCGCGUCGAGAUGGUUCCCAGAUAAAUUGAGGUACUGUAAGCUUCAACACUCCCCAAUAUUGGUAGGAAUCUUUCCUGAAAUCAUAUUGUCAGAGAGAUCAAGUUCACCUAGAUUCCUGAGAUUUCCCACUUCUGAAGGCAAAGUCCCAGUCAGUGAAUUAUGUGCAAGAUACAUGGAACUCGACAAGCUUGAGAUGAGGAAGAGUUCCUUAGGUGUUGGGCCGGAAAGAUUGUUGUAAGAAAGAUCCAGCUCCUCUAAAGGACAGUUGCUGAGAGCAGAAGGGAUGGCUCCACUGAGCGCAUUAGUAUUAAGCAGAAGGGUUGUAAGCUUUGUAAGAUUUCCAAGAGCCACUGGGAUAGAUCCUGACAAGUUGUUAUUUGACAGAGAUAACCGAUUCAACUUCUUAAGCUUGCCGAGAGAUGCUGGGAUGGUGCCCUGGAGAAGAUUAUUUUCCAUGUCAAGUUCAUCCAAGUUGAUGAAGUUCCCUAUUGCUUCAGUUAUCGUCCCUGCUAUGCUGUUGGAUGCAAUGCCAAGAAACUCCAUCUGUGUCGACAAAUUGCCGAUUGAUUUCGGUAGCACACCUUGGAGCUUGUUUUCACUAACAUCCACUAAUAUCAUAUUGCUGCAGUUGGUCAGACUAGUAAGGAAGCCCCAUUCAGCAUCGUUGGUUGCUUCAAGCUGAUUCCCCGCAAAGUUCACCACAGAGAGCAUCUCCUGGCGAGCCCCCAGGCACCGAGGGAUCGUUCCCGACAGGAAGUUGUUUACUGUCUGAACCAUCUGUAGCAUGGAAGCAUUGCACAAGGACGGCGGGAUCACGCCAUGAAACUGGUUAUCAGACACAAGAAAGGACUGGAGACUCGUCAUCGUGUCGCCCAUGUCGAGCGGAAAGCCCCCGGUGAGGUUGUUGUGCUGGACGUUGAACAUCUCAAGAGAGGAGAGGUUGAACAAUGAGAGUGGCAGAGGGCCUUGUAGCUCAUUGUUGUCCAGGUAAAGCUCAGCGAGGGCAUGGAGGUUCCCAAUGGCGUCCGGUAUCUUGCCGACAAGCUUGUUCUCCGCGAACGAAACGGCUUCAAGCAACCCAAGGUUCCCUAUAGACUCCGGGAUGCGCCCCACAAAGCCAUUGCUCUGGAGGUUUAAGGAUGCCAGCGACGAGAGGUUGCCUAGCCAAGAAGGUAUGGUUCCGCCGAGGUGGUUGUCUUCCAAAUGGAGCGUGCUGAGGGAUGACAGGCCCUGUAAUGAGGAGGGUAUGCUCCCUGACAGCCGGUUCGAGAAGGCGGUGAGGGCGGUUAGCGCCGACAGGUUCCCCAGCGAGGCCGGGAUGGAGCCUGACAGCUGGUUGGACGCGAGGCCGAGGCCGACGAGGCUGGCGAGGCUGCCGACCUGCCAUGCGAUCUCUCCUGUCAGGUUGUUGAACUCCAGGACCAGCAGCUUGAGGUUGACGAGGCCGCCGACGCCGGAAGGGAUGCUUCCUGUGAGCCUGUUCUGGCCGAGGUUGAGCACCUCGAGGCUCCGAAGCGAGCCCAACAGCUCCGGCGGGAUGUGCCCCUGAAGCUUGUUGGUGUGGAGCAGGACGGUCCUGAGCCGCCUGCACAGGGAGAGCGACGGCGGGAGGCGGCCCCCGAUGGCGUUGCCGCUGAGGUUGAGGUGGCUGAGCUCGCGCAGGCGGCCGAGCUCCGGCGGCAGCGCGCCCUGGAGGCGGUUGCCGGGGAGGUGGAGCCGCCUCAGGUGCGUGAGGUUGGCCAGCGCCGGGGUGAGCGUGCCGAGAAGGCCGAGCCCGGGGAGGUCCAGCGCGACGACGCGGCCACGGCGGCGGCCCCUCAUGCCGCAGGACACACCGCGCCACUGGCACGGCGGCGGCGCGGGCCCGUCGUGGGCGCUGCUGCUCGUCCAUGACGCCAGGGCCCGUGUCGGGUCGCCCCUCACGAGCGACCUGAAGGAGAGCAGCGCGUUGUAAUCCGCGGCGCUGGCGGCAUCGGGCUCCGGUGCGCCGGGCAGCGCGUGAGUGGCGACGGAGCACGCGAGGAAGAAGACGGCGACGAGGAGGAGGGACAGUGCUGCCAUUGCCAUUGCCGUUGCCGCCCCGGCCGACGGUGCUGUGGCAAGCAAAGUGAUUGUGGAGUGUGGACUGGACGCGGCGGAGAGCAUACGUGCGAGACAGAGAGGUAGAUAGAGAGAGAGAGAGAUAUUUGGCUCGGGUGAGUGUUGCGUAUAAACAAACUGUAGCCACCGGUGGCGACGCGUCGUCGUCGUUUGGCAACGGCGGGUUGAAUUUUUCUGGGACGGGGGCCACCGGCAGCGUGAUGCGAUCCGUGGCUUGUUUCGUCUCUCUGAGGACUCUGGGCCAAUGAGCCAUGAGUAGUCGAGGUCAGUGAUAUGAAAAGCUGGUGGCCGCUUU